UUUGUUGAUUGUGGAGUAUGCAUCCUGAAGAAAGCUUCAGACUGUGGCCUACACCUAGAGGCCUUUCCUCACCUACACCAGAGCAAAGGAAGUAGUCCAGCUGCUGCUGCUCUAUGUGAGAAAGGAAAAACUUAAUUUGGGAAACCUUAGAAAGAACAACAAGCGAUCCGUCAUGGCACUCCGUCUGGUUUCUAUGAACUGUAGGGGUCUGAACUCCCCUUUCAAAAGGAAUAAGAAAAGAUUCAUGGCUGGAAGAAGUCGGCAUGGCGAUUACAAGAAAGAAGAAAAAAAGAAAGAAAGAGAACUAUUUCAGGAAGACGUCAA